rnacentral:piRNA from 1 species
UGUGGUCGCCUUCUGCAGUUCUCACAAGA